UGGCAAAGUGACACGUGCAUUUCAUUUACUCUCCCUGUGGCUUUUAAACAUAAUUUUUGUACACAGGUGGAACCACAAGUGUUUGUUCCUUAUGGAAAAGGUAGCAUGGAGACUUCUUUAACACUGAGAACCUUAGAACUGAAUAGACACAAAAUCACAAGGAACUUUAAAUUGUAAUGUGAUUUCCUGACAUAGAAUCAGAAACCUUCACACACUUCUGUGAAGCCAGACAUCUUUGAAGGAUACAGAGGACACACAGCUAUCAAUAUAUAGAAGGAGGAGAAGCUCCCUCAAGUAAAGAACAGCAAUAGAAGACAAGAACAACUGUCACCAGCCAGAAGAGGUGUCCAGUCUAUCUGCCUGGGUAGCAUCCUGAAGUCCAAUAGCGAGAGUCAUGGGGGACACUUACUUGUCUUGGUUAAUAUGACUCUUUUUGACCUGUGUCAGCUCUUUGAAAGUCUGUCCAAAGUGAGCAGUGGGGUGAACAAUGGCGGCAGCAUCUUUAGGUAUCUGGAUCCAACCAUCAGGAGCUCUAAGCACUGACCCGCAAUGGCUGCCUGCCUCAGUUUGCACACCAGAUGGAUGCCAGUGCUGGUCUCUGUCAGGAAAGUACACAGAUUUCCUAAUGGUGCUUUCAACAUUAGUUCCUAUUAGAGUAUGUAACUGAAGAGGUAUCAGAGAUAACUCUUAUGUUUCUUUAACGUGAUAGAUGUUCCUCAUAUUUUUCUAAAUUUAGAAAUAUCUUGAACAUUGUGCCAUGUAAAGUAUUGAUUAUCGUUCAUGUGCAUGUUUUAACUUCUGCGAUUUAUUUAUUGACUUUUAAAGCUUCUAAUUUCAACACUAACUUCCAAACGGCAACAGAAGAAAAGUAAAACAACAUUAGUGGCAGAAGAAUAAUUUGGAUCAUGUGCGUUGGAAUAGAGGUACUGAACAGAACCACUCGAGUGGGAAGAGGUGUGUCUCCAGUGAGAUUCCAGAUGCUGUCAAGUUGAUGAUCAACAAACAUUACCCACCAUGCAAGCUAUGAAGACAACUUAUUCAUUCAGACUCAAGCCUACUUGCCAUGUAUUCCUAGAAGUUCUGGAAAGUAGAAAUUCCAUAAAUAUCAAAACCUGAACAACCUCCUCACUUACCAGUCAGGCAUGCUAGACCAACACUUCUGAAACUGUGACCUGGACAAGCACCAGUAGCUUCGUUACCUGGGAAUUAUCAGAAAUGCAAAUUUUAACUCUACUCAACCUAUUCUCUGGAUGAAGCCAAUCACUUCCUCUCAUUGGACUGCCUGGAAUGGAUGGCUUUCUCUUCCCAGAAUGGCCUCCAUGUGCAGCAAAGCUAAGUUCACAGCUAAUUGCAGUUGGGUGUUUGGAGCUUCCUUUUCCUGCCCUUCACUAUUACCUGGCUUAGUAAAAAGAAUCAGCAGGUCCCAUCUGUUAAUGACAAGGGAACCAUUCCAGGCUUUGAGAAAACCAAGAUUUAGAAAUCAGUAUAGUCUUGAAAAUCAUCACAAUGAAGGUAGGUAGAUCUUACCAUGCCCUGGCAAAGAAUCUACAAAAUCAGAAAUCUUGAUUUUUGUUGUUAUUUCAAUUAACAGAAUGCUAGAACUAAGAAGAACUAAACAGGUGACCCAGGCGACAUAUAGAACAACAUAUUUAAUUGGGGACUUGCAAUUUCAGAGUUUUAGAGCAAGAACAUGUGGCAUGAACAGCUGAGAGCUCCGAAGUUGAUGAAGUAGAAGAAAACAAAUGCUAACUGGGAAUGGUGGGGGCCUUUGCAACCUCAAAAUCCACUCCCAAUAACACACCUCCAUCUCGGGUCCAGACCUUGAAACACUGGUGGACUUGGAGUUCCCUGGAGCUGGAAAGAAUGUAAUGGUCAAGAACUCUGAGAGUUGUACAACCUAAGAUGUUCCUCAUGAAAUCUCUUUGACGGCCAAUGCUUUAAAAGAAUCUGACACCUCCAGCCCAAAAAUGGAUCAAAAUUGAAAGUUGCCUGGUUUGUCACCUCUAUAGUUAAGUCUGGUUAAAGCACCUUCUGUUUAGGAUGCCAAUGAGAUGCAGGUGGUGAGGAUCUAUGACUGGGGUCCAUAUGGUCUCUUCAGGUGCAUAAUGUAUGGUUGGGACCCUGAUAAUUUUCUCUGUGUGUUUAUCUCUCUGUAUAUUUCUGUCACUUCUAUUGAUUGGAGUCAAAGAUCUAAAAAAUAAGGGAAGUGAGCCCUCCUGGGACAACAGCUACUGCUGCCCCUGGGAUGAUACACAACUUCCCAUAGGCUCAUAGGUCAUGCUGGCCCAUCCAUGCUGCACCCCUCUUCUGGCAGCAACUGUGGAUGCAAGUCGGUGCUACUGUUGCUAUGGUGAUGCUAGCAGUAGGGGCUCCUGAGUAGUAUUGUGGGUGGUGGACACAGGCCCAGAAGGAAUUUUGUGGAGUAGGAUGGCUAUGAUGGAUGUCUCAGGCACUGUGACCCUGGAGGAGGCUAGUGGCCUAUCUAUCCAAAAGACUUGAUCUUGUUUGGCCUGCUUUUUUGUGAUCAGUUGCUGCUACAACUGUACUAAUAAAUACGUUGACUUUGUGCCAGGAACUGUCAUUAACUUACAUCUCCAUCAUUGUAAUGGACCUCCUGAGGGGAACCGCAGUAAGUGGAUGCAUAACAUUGAAAUAACCCAUUAUGAGGCACGUCUUCUGGGCCAGACCCAUAUCUGACUUAAUAAAACAAUAGCCAUCAGCCCACCCAGCCCACGACCAGAUGAUAUACCAAAGGAGCCACUCCAAGACAGCAGCCAAGUUCUGGUCAUCAGACUCCCCCAAACAGAGGAGGGACAUAGCCGUGGAUGUGGAGAGGCCCCAGAACAACCCUCAUAAGGGGAAAUGUACUCCAGGAACUGCCCAGUCUUUGGCUCCUCCAGUUCUGAUCAACAGGAGCUCAAAGCUCAGAUCCUGCAGGCAGGGUCUGACAAUACAGAAACACCCAUAGCUGUGGUAGAAGGUGGAUGUGAUCAGCUUCAUCUCCCGUCUUAAGCAAGAACCCAGGCCUGAUUGCUGCUACCUCUGCAGUUGUGGCUGCGGCAUCCUGCUCUGCUCUGGGGCUGGUGGAAGCCUCUGGCUUCCACUCUGGGCUCCACUGCAGCUGCACUCUGCACUUCCUACAGACAUGAAGAGGUUUUAUAUGGAGCAGCUUUGUUCAACACGGAAUCAGGUAUACUAGGUUGCAGUGGUCACCACCCAGGAUGAUAUAGGCCCAGUCCCUCAGCCAAUGGACUUCAACACAAAUGGCUGACCUUCUGGCUUUAUCCCAUUCAUUUUGCUGGGAGAAGGGCAAAGACAUGCAUACUACGAACAGUUGGCAUGCAUUUGCCAAUGCCAGUGUCCAUAGGCCCUCUUUAGAGAGAAGGGACUCCUCACCUUGACAGAAAGAACACAGGAAGAAACCAGGUGACAAAAAGAAACAGGAGGCAAAUGGAUGGCAGUUCUUGUUGAACAAGAGACCCAUACUCUCUGCUGUUAUCAGAAGACAAAAAAUUCUGUAUAUGGGUUGCCUCUACCUCUGAGAUUUGACAAUGCCCUCAUCUUCAUGAUCAAACUUUCCCCUAAAUCUGGCAAAGGCCCUAUAUGUUCAUCUAAAAUUACAUUGUGCAUAAAAUCAGGAAGGGUAAAAUAAAUCUGUCGAUGAAAAUUGGGCUAACCUCCUACCUUUUGCUCUAAGGGUCAGAUGCCCCCCAUAUUGAGAUGUUCACUAGGUAAAAGUUACUAACCAUUCCCCUGUCACAUUCUUAAAGAUCCUGCAACAGACCCAGAGGACUAUUCACAAGGCUGAGCCCUUGCUCUUGUCUGAGCUUGACCAAAAGUUCCAGACUGGAAACCUUAUGUGGACAGAGAGGAUCCUGACACAGAGCUUGGGAACAAUGGUGAAAACCCAUACAUUGUGGUCCUCAGCACCCAGUGUCACCACACCCUGCUAAACGGGGAUACAGAAUAUAGGUCAUCACCAGAGUCUCUAACCCACUAAAGAUAAAACAGACACAGUUCUUAUAAUGAUAGCUUUCUCAUUUUCUUUAGAUUUAUAUGUUUCAUUAAUCGUUUAAUUAAGCCAUACAUGUUUGAACACAUAAAACAUUUUAAAAUAAUAUUUAUAUGAUUAUAACAACUUUCCAAGCUUAAAACUUUAAAAUCGUAUGUUCUUAAGUUACCAAAUAUUUUCUAUUACUUCAUCUCUCUUGUCUUGAUCACGGAGCAAACUUGUUUUUGGUACAAAUUACCACAUGAAUGCUAGAGCCCAGUUUCAUAUGCUAUUCACAGAAUGAUGUCAUGGUAAUGAUGCCAGCCACAGUGGGCUUCCAACCUCAAUAAAUUGUACUUUUCUUAUGUUGUCUUUUUUUGUAGGAAAGACAUUAAACCCUGAUAAUCCAAAAGAUCAGAAGCAGGGAGCUCAUAGCCAAUCUUAGUGCUACCUCCAAUUCUAUCAGCUAGAAAUGGGACCAAUCUGAGGUCACUCCGGGGCAUCUCCAGGGAAAGGGUACAUGUUUAAUGUUACCAAGCUACCAGCUAGUAGUUCCUGGGUGCAGAUUCCUUUAAUCAUGCACAGUAGAUUAAUUCCAAGAAUGACAGUCAAAUGUUUUUCAGGCCCCAGAGACUGCAUACCCUGCUCUCACUCACAACUUAACCAAGUGUUGAGGAGCCAAAUCUGGACCAUUAGUAGCUGGUUCCCUCAAGAAUUGCAGGACUGAGGGGGGUCCACAGCACUCACGGACUCACCCUGCAGACUCACCCAGCAGUCAGUGUGGCUCUGCUUCCUGCAUCUUGAAAUGGAGGAUUUGGAUCUGAGAAGGCAGAUCCUCUAAUGCAGUGUACACAGGCAUGUGCCUUCAUGGCCACAGGGUAUGUUUUAUUGGCAUAAAAAUGUUUGCCAACUUACACCACAUCCUGGGAUUUUGGGUGCCCCCUAUCAUUCUGCGUCCUCAGUAACACUUCUAUUGUUGGACGUUUCUGUUUAUCUAUUCUGGACUUGUUAUCUCACUGAAAAAAAUUCUUUUUAGACAAACUAUAAGGUGGCUUUGAACUGACUAUGUAGUCCUGGCUGACCCAACCUCACGGAGAUCCUCCUGCUUCAUCUUCCCAGUGCCGGGAUUACACACAUGUGCCACCAUGCCUAGAAUGUUUCUUCUUGAAAUUUGGCUAUGUUUUACAUGUUAAUGUUGGUGUCGUACAUACAGCAUACUUAAAGACUGCAAUUUGGAGAUUUUCCUACCACAUGAGUUCCUUCCCCAUUACUGAAACACAUGCCUGAGAAUCAGCUUAAUGAAGGGGUGUAUGUUGGCCAACAAUUGGAGGCCACAGUCCACCAUGGCAGGUUGAGCAGCUAUCUAUAUGGUAUCUACCCUGAGAACGCAGAGAGCAAUGAAUACUUAUGCUCCACCCCCUUUCUCUCUCUUUUUUUUUUUACUAGCAUUUUUUUUAUUUAUUUUCUUUUUAUUUAUUUAAUACUUAAUAAUAAUUCUUUGGUUUCCGGGCAAACAUCCCCCUCCCC